AUUUAGUCCUGCCCUGGGGAGCCUUUCCUUCAAAGGAAAAGAAUUUAGGGUUACCAGUAACAGAAUAAUAAACUCUCCUAAGGGACUCCCCUACAGUAAACUCUUUGAGGUAGGGACUAUUUUUUGUUUUGUCUUUAUAGCUCCAGGGCCCAGGAUGUGACAGGUACUUAAUUACUUCAUCUUUGAUUGAAUUAUAGGUCUUCAGAGGACAGCUAGUCUAAGCUAAUCUAUGCCUGCACAACAGUCAAGCAACCUACCCCCUCUGUUGGUCUCUUCAGGGACUGUACAGUCCUUAUGACAUGCAGUAGCACCUUAGGGGCUGCUACUAAGGAGAAAGAACUCAGAAAGUCAAACAACCUUCCCUUCUGGUUGGUUCCUCUUUAUCUCGAGAGUUCCAGGGGAGAGAGUUCUGGACCUGGAGUAGAAGAUCUGAGUUUAAAAAGUCUGUCUCAGACACUUACUAUGUGACCUUGGACAAGUCACAUUCUAUUUGCCCCAGUUUCUUCAUUUGUUAAAUGAUAAUAAUAACAUCUACAAUCCAGUGGUACCUCCCUACCAGUGGUGGUUGUGAGGAUAAAAUUGAUAAUAUUUUUUAAAUGCUUUGUAAAUUUUCCAAUGCUACAUAAAUGCUAUU
rnacentral:lncRNA from 1 species